GCCUGGCUGGCUUAGUUAGUAGAGCAUGCAACUCUUGAUUUUAGGAUUAUGAGUUCAAGGCCCAUGUUGGGUG
rnacentral:tRNA from 1 species